UUUUGAAUUUGUUUUAUUUUUUGGGGAUCAUCUGUUAAUAAAAAGCUGAGGGACCUGAGUGAUUACAAACAAGUAGAACUUAGUGCCUUUGGUGAUUACAAAAGGUUCUCUACCAGUUGGCUAAGAACACCCAAAAAAGGGUCGAAAACUUAUAGCUUUACCUGACAAAAAGCCUUCACAAUUGAUCCUGCUAGAAUCAUUGAAAGAAAUGACUGAACUGUUGUUUCUCUAGAUUACUAUUGGUUAUUUGUUGCAGAACUAUGUGAUCUUUGUUAUCAAUGUUGUUUGACUGUAAUUGCUAGCUGCAAUCAUAUCUUUUGGAAAUACAAAUCAUGUUAUGGAUUUGGGAUCUAAAUUUUUCGUGAAUGUCAGUCACUCGAAACCCGCUCACAUUUUUGGAAUGGAAGCCAUCAGAGGUCGUGGCCAAUUUCUCUUGCUUGUGCUCUCGUAAUAAUGUCCGAGUUUGAUCUCCUAUUUCCUUUUCUUUUGAGCCACACGGCCUUCACCCACUUUGAGUUGGCUUAGUAGUUAAUAAGAGUCGUGAAUAUAAAGGGUUUAGAGAGAAUGAAAUCAGGUCAUAGCAACCAUCUGUAACCACUUAUCUAAGAUUGAAUUAUCUUAUGAGUUUUCAUAGCAACUAGAUAUAGUAGGGUCAUACAAUUUUCUCGUUAGAAUAGUCAAAGUGCGUAAAGGGUUUAGAGAGAAUGAGCUCAAGUUAUAGUAACCAUCAGUAACCAUCAGUAACCACCUAUCUAAGUUGAUGUUGCUAUAUCAACUAAAUGUAGUAGGGUCAGACUGUUUUCUCGUUAGAAUGGUCAAAGUACGUGCAAGUUGACCCAAACUCACACAGCCGUCCUCCUCAGUUCAUGCAUAUCUAUACAUGCCAAGGGAGGGUAUCAUAUUCUUUGCUUUAGCAUGCUUUUCAAAAGCUAGAUUUCCUUCCUGUUGUAAAGAUUGGGAAGAAGACUUUUUAAGAUUUGUUGUUUUCUCAUGUGAGCUUAUUAUGAUGAUCAUAUAGGAUUUUUCUUCUGGUUGACUGUCUGUUUUGUCUGCAUGAAUGUUGCUGAGUUUUACGUUAACUUGGUCUGGAUCUUACUUUGCUUUUAAACUUUU